AUGACAUUGCUUGUUUCAAUAAUUAUAAAACUUCUCACCACGACUAGAGGCAAUAUGCAACCAUUACAUAUUCGGAUACCGUCAAAAGAAAGACUCUCGAUUCUCUCUGCGAAGUUCAACAAUACAUGUUUACAGAAAUGUGAUGACUAUUCAGCCAAACAACUUAGAACGAAAGUAGCAACAAAAAUUGACCUAAGAGGAUUUAAUAGUAUGAACCAAACCGAAGAAAUAUAA